GAUGAACGCUGGCGGCGUGCCUAAUACAUGCAAGUCGAGCGAACAGACGAGGAGCUUGCUCCUCUGACGUUAGCGGCGGACGGGUGAGUAACACGUGGAUAACCUACCUAUAAGACUGGGAUAACUUCGGGAAACCGGAGCUAGUACCGGAUAAUAUAUUGAACCGCAUGGUUCAAUAGUGAAGGACGGUUUUGCUGUCACUUAUAGAUGGAUCCGCGCCGCAUUAGCUAGUUGGUAAGGUAACGGCUUACCAAGGCAACGAUGCGUAGCCGACCUGAGAGGGUGAUCGGCCACACUGGAACUGAGACACGGUCCAGACUCCUACGGGAGGCAGCAGUAGGGAAUCUUCCGCAAUGGGCGAAAGCCUGACGGAGCAACGCCGCGUGAGUGAUGAAGGUCUUCGGAUCGUAAAACUCUGUUAUUAGGGAAGAACAAAUGUGUAAGUAACUAUGCACGUCUUGACGGUACCUAAUCAGAAAGCCACGGCUAACUACGUG
rnacentral:rRNA from 1 species